AUUUGAUGGAUAAUCCUUUCAGGAAAUUUAUAUUUCAUUUAGUUGUCUUAAUCUGCCCAACCAAACCGGCGCCCCGAAUGCCACCCGUCGGCAUACACCUCUCGAUCUGUCUCCUCAGUCCAUUUCAAUUCGAACCGAGGAGAGCACCGUGUGUCCCUUGUUCUUCUCCACCACUUUAGUUCAGAUAGCUUCUUGAGAGGAGCUCUGUAGAACCGAUCCUUCCCAUGCCAUUGUAAGCCUCAAACGCGAAUUCAUCGCUAGAUCAUGUCGCCCUUGGUGAUCAUCUCGUCUAUUCCCUCCACCAGAAUACUCCCCUCACCAAGGCCUUUCUCAAGGACAUGGUGUUGCAUCGUGUCGUUGUUGUUGGCCGCGACGUCUUCGGAGUUCAACGACCUGGACAUGGUCGUAGGCCAUAUUCGCGAUGUUGGUCGCACCGCCGAUGCCGCUCAAGUCAAGGAUCAACGCGGCCAGAGGAAACAACGAGUGCGCCAUCAUACCAACUCGACGUUUAGUACUGCUUCUGCCUUUCCAUCGAUCCCAGAGAACUCCCAACAUCGACUUCAUCCAGGGCCAAGCUCGUCGCCCGCCGCGCGAAACAUCUCCGGUGACGACUUCGUCAACUCCGGCGACGUCCGCGUCGCCAUCCACGCCGUUGCCAACGAGUUGCGCUGACACUUGUUUGUUGUACGGAGAGCUACGAGUUUUUGUUGAGAAAAGUGAAGAAUUCUUCAACUACUAAAAAGGC